rnacentral:rRNA from 1 species
UACGUAGGGUGCGAGCGUUGUCCGGAAUUAUUGGGCGUAAAGGGCUCGUAGGCGGUUUGUCGCGUCGGGAGUGAAAACACCGGGCUUAACUCGGUGCUUGCUUUCGAUACGGGCAGACUUGAGGCAUGCAGGGGAGAACGGAAUUCCUGGUGUAGCGGUGAAAUGCGCAGAUAUCAGGAGGAACACCGGUGGCGAAGGCGGUUCUCUGGGCCUUACCUGACGCUGAGGAGCGAAGGCGUGGGGAGCGAACAGG